GAUGAACGCUGGCGGCGUGCCUAAUACAUGCAAGUCGAGCGAACGGACGAGAAGCUUGCUUUUCUGAUGUUAGCGGCGGACGGGUGAUUAACACGUGGAUAACCUACCUAUAAGACUGGGAUAACUUCGGGAAACCGGAGCUAAUACCGGAUAAUAUUUUGAACCUCAUGGUUCAAAAGUGAAAGACGGUCUUGCUGUCACUUAUAGAUGGAUCCGCGCUGCAUUAGCUAGUUGGUAAGGUAACGGCUUACCAAGGCAACGAUGCAUAGCCGACCUGAGAGGGUGAUCGGCCACACUGGAACUGAGACACGGUCCAGACUCCGACGGGAGGCAGCAGUAGGGAAUCUUACGCAAUGGGCGAAAGCCUGACGGAGCAACGCCGCGUGAGUGAUGAAGGUCUUCGGAUCGUAAAACUCUGUUAUUAGGGAAGAACAUAUGUGUAAGUAAAUGUGCACAUCUUGACGGUACCUAAUCAGAAAGCCACGGCUAACUACGUG
rnacentral:rRNA from 1 species